rnacentral:rRNA from 1 species
UACGUAGGGGGCUAGCGUUGUCCGGAAUCAUUGGGCGUAAAGCGCGUGUAGGCGGUCCGGUAAGUCCGCUGUGAAAGUCGGGGGGCUCAACCCUCGGAUGCCGGUGGAUACUGUCGGGCUUGAGUACGGAAGAGGCGAGUGGAAUUCCUGGUGUAGCGGUGGAAAUGCGCAGAUAUCAGGAGGAACACCAAUUGCGAAGGCAGCUCGGCUGGGACGUUACUGACGCUGAGACGCGAAAGCGUGGGGAGCAA